GUGUUUUAUGAAAGGAGAGAAGGUUAGAAAUACCUUUCACAUUGUGGCUAUUACAAAUACAUGUCUACAAUUAAAACAAGUUGUGUCUUUUGUUUUUUU
rnacentral:ncRNA from 1 species